rnacentral:rRNA from 1 species
GAUGAACGCUAGCUACAGGCUUAACACAUGCAAGUCGAGGGGUAUCAGGAAGAAAGCUUGCUUUCUUUGCUGGCGACCGGCGCACGGGUGGGUAACACGUAUCCAACCUGCCCUUUACUCGGGGAUAGCCUUUCGAAAGAAAGAUUAAUACCCGAUAGCAUAAUGAUUCCGCAUGGUUUCAUUAUUAAAGGAUUCCGGUAAAGGAUGGGGAUGCGUUCCAUUAGGUUGUUGGUGAGGUAACGGCCCACCAAGCCUUCGAUGGAUAGGGGUUCUGAGAGGAAGGUCCCCCACAUUGGAACUGAGACACGGUCCAAACUCCUACGGGAGGCAGCAGUGAGGAAUAUUGGUCAAUGGGCGCUAGCCUGAACCAGCCAAGUAGCGUGAAGGAUGAAGGCUCUAUGGGUCGUAAACUUCUUUUAUAUAAGAAUAAAGUGCAGUAUGUAUACUGUUUUGUAUGUAUUAUAUGAAUAAGGAUCGGCUAACUCCGUGCCAGCAGCCGCGGUAAUACGGAGGAUCCGAGCGUUAUCCGGAUUUAUUGGGUUUAAAGGGAGCGUAGGUGGACUGGUAAGUCAGUUGUGAAAGUUUGCGGCUCAACCGUAAAAUUGCAGUUGAUACUGUCAGUCUUGAGUACAGUAGAGGUGGGCGGAAUUCGUGGUGUAGCGGUGAAAUGCUUAGAUAUCACGAAGAACUCCGAUUGCGAAGGCAGCUCACUGGACUGCAACUGACACUGAUGCUCGAAAGUGUGGGUAUCAAACAGGAUUAGAUACCCUGGUAGUCCACACAGUAAACGAUGAAUACUCGCUGUUUGCGAUAUACAGUAAGCGGCCAAGCGAAAGCAUUAAGUAUUCCACCUGGGGAGUACGCCGGCAACGGUGAAACUCAAAGGAAUUGACGGGGGCCCGCACAAGCGGAGGAACAUGUGGUUUAAUUCGAUGAUACGCGAGGAACCUUACCCGGGCUUAAAUUGCAGUGGAAUGAUGUGGAAACAUGUCAGUGAGCAAUCACCGCUGUGAAGGUGCUGCAUGGUUGUCGUCAGCUCGUGCCGUGAGGUGUCGGCUUAAGUGCCAUAACGAGCGCAACCCUUAUCUUUAGUUACUAACAGGUUAUGCUGAGGACUCUAGAGAGACUGCCGUCGUAAGAUGUGAGGAAGGUGGGGAUGACGUCAAAUCAGCACGGCCCUUACGUCCGGGGCUACACACGUGUUACAAUGGGGGGUACAGAAGGCAGCUAGCGGGUGACCGUAUGCUAAUCCCAAAAGCCUCUCUCAGUUCGGAUCGAAGUCUGCAACCCGACUUCGUGAAGCUGGAUUCGCUAGUAAUCGCGCAUCAGCCACGGCGCGGUGAAUACGUUCCCGGGCCUUGUACACUCCGCCCGUCAAGCCAUGGGAGCCGGGGGUACAUGAAGUACGUAACCGCAAGGA